AGAGCGCGUGAGUGGUGGUUGGAUUGUAUGGGUUGAAUUGUUCCCUGCUUGUGCAGCGAAAUUUUUCCUUGCAAUCCUCUUCAUUGUUGCUUCAAGAGAAUUUGUUCAUUGAGCGAUUGUCGGGUCCCUGUGUUGUAUACCAUUUGAAGGAAUUUGAACUGAAAGAUGAUCAAUUUCGUCUUGUGCCACAGUGUUGCAUUAGGUGAACCCCAAAGUACCAUUCGUGCUACCAGCAUGCCUCCAAAAAAAUGGUGCUUGCUUGGGGCAUGGAUGGAUACUCGUGCUCUCGGAUGCGGAAUAUAUUGUGGAUAAAGCGGUCUAUUGAUUGCUUGUGCCCAAAAUUGUCCCUUUAUUGAACGACUAUCAUAACCGUGUGCCCCAUUCGAUUUUGUCGGUUGGGACCAUGCGGGCAUGGUGUUGUGAAGGAAUGCUACCUGGUUGAUCCUGCCAGUAGUCAUAUGCUUGUCUCACCCCUCCCGCGC
rnacentral:misc_RNA from 1 species